rnacentral:rRNA from 1 species
UACGUAGGGUGCAAGCGUUGUCCGGAAUUAUUGGGCGUAAAGAGCUCGUAGGCGGUCUGUUACGUCCGCUGUGAAAACCCAGGGCUUAACCCUGGGCUUGCAGUGGAUACGGGUAGACUAGAGGCAGGUAGGGGAGAAUGGAAUUCCCGGUGUAGCGGUGAAAUGCGCAGAUAUCGGGAGGAACACCGGUGGCGAAGGCGGUUCUCUGGGCCGGACCUGACGCUGAGGAGCGAAAGCGUGGGGAGCGAACAGG